GGAUGUAAGGGCAGUGUGGCUUUGGCAUUUCACCCCACUCCUAAGAAGGGUUGUCUGGCUGACUAGGUGGGAAUCUCCUUCCUCACCAUUCCAUGUGUAUCCCUUCCUAAACUGAAUAUCCAGUUGAAAAGGACAACUUUCCCUGACUAAGAAGGACCAUUCUUCAGCCAAGGACAUAUAAGAGCAGUGCUCCCCUGCUAGAACUGCCAAACAAGCUCCCUCUCCUCUUAAGGCUCUGCUCCGUGAGGCUGGCUCUGCCCAGGAC
rnacentral:sRNA from 1 species